GCCCGGCUAGCUCAAUCGGUAGAGCGUGAGACUCUUAUGGAGAUUACCUUCGAACCUCACGAGACAAGGCUGUGGGUUCGACCCCCACGUCGGGCU